UAUCUAUAUUUGUUUACAUUUAAAACAAUUAUUUCCAUCCAUAGAUUAUUUUAAUUAAAAAUAUAUAUUUUUUUAUGGAUUUUACUGCACGUAAAUGGGCUACUACUCGUCAAAUAAUACACACUGCUGCAACCGGGAAGCGAUUAAUGUUAACGGCCUCUGGUGGUGAUAGAUCGCAAGAGGGAGGAGGCCGAGAGAUAAACUGAUACUCGGCCACACAACACAAACUGCUUCCAAAUAAAUUAGAUUUCAUGUUGAACAUAGACCCAUCGGACUCAUUGAAUGGGUUAUGUGGAAAAUAAAGAAAGAAAGAAAGAAAGAAAGAAAUACUUACAAUCUAUGUUCAUAUGUUUACAUCACGUGACUUCAUCCUCCUGUUGAUUGAAGGGUGAACGAGCGCUGUUGGCAAAAGGUCAUGCGGAAUGUCAUGGUCAUCAUCUUUUGAUAUUGAGACCGAAAUGAAGAUCGAAGUAAAAGUUCUAAGAAGCCAAUAGGUGCCCGGUUUUGAAAAAGAAGAAAAGACAAGGAGAAAAAGGCAAAAGAAAAAAGUAUGCAAAUUUCGGUGAGUGAUGUGAGUGACAGGGGGCUAUUUAUGAGCCUCUUGCUAAUCUGUGCGAUGCCACUGAAGACGGCUGUAUUUUCCAUCUAGAUUUGCAGCACUAGCAAUGACUAAAAUUGAGGCAUCAUGUCGUGCAAGUAAUUUCACCCAUAGGCAACCUAAUUUAGUUUGUGUUUGCAACAUCAGUGCAAAGUGACACAGAUGUCCUGACUGUGGACUUUUUUUUUUU